UACAGAGGUCUCAAGCGUUGUUCGGAUUCAUUGGGCGUAAAGGGUGCGUAGGCGGCGCGGUAAGUCGGGUGUGAAAUCUUGGAGCUUAACUCAGAAACUGCAUUCGAUACUGCCGUGCUUGAGGACUGGAGAGGAGACUGGAAUUUACGGUGUAGCGGUGAAAUGCGUAGAUAUCUGGAGGAACACCGGUGGCGAAGGCGGCAUUCUGGACCGAUAUUGACGCUGAGGAGCGAAAGCCAGGGGAGCAAACGGG
rnacentral:rRNA from 1 species